GUGUGUUUUAAUGAAGACAUGUCUCUAAACUCUGCAGAGGGGACAACUCUGAUGCUUGCACAC
rfam:Larimichthys crocea isolate SSNF unplaced genomic scaffold scaffold234, whole genome shotgun sequence.